UACGGAGGGUCCAAGCGUUAUCCGGAAUCAUUGGGUUUAAAGGGUCCGUAGGCGGUUUAGUAAGUCAGUGGUGAAAGCCCAUCGCUCAACGGUGGAACGGCCAUUGAUACUGCUAGACUUGAAUUAUUGGGAAGUAACUAGAAUAUGUAGUGUAGCGGUGAAAUGCUUAGAGAUUACAUGGAAUACCAAUUGCGAAGGCAGGUUACUACCAAUAUAUUGACGCUGAUGGACGAAAGCGUGGGGAGCGAACAGG
rnacentral:rRNA from 1 species